AUGACUGAGGCCAACCAGACAGUGACUGAUGGAAACAGGACAGACUGGAUGAUGCCAUUUCUCCAGACUGCACAGGGUUAUAUCUUUGGAUUAGUUAUGACACUAAAAAUCUGGAAUAAAGUGAUUAAAAUAUGUGGUAGUGAACAAAUACUAAAAGUAUUUAGAUGGUGUGCUUAUGACACAGAUUUUAAACCAAAUGAAAGUGAUAAUAGAUUUCAGUCCUGGAUAGAGAGUGGAUUAACAACAUUCUAUUCCUUCACACAUAAAGGGACACUACAGAGCUUCCAGUCUUUACAAACAAGAAAUGGCUUAAGACAAGUAGACUUCUUCAGGUUUCUUCAAAUGAGGGAUUAUUUUAACAAACAUUGUAAUAUCCCAAACCCAAAUACGGUUGAGUCUGAAAUUUUUAAGGUGGUUAAAUUAGCAUACGAUAGUUCCCUGAGAAAGGCAAUCUCCAAACUAUAUAAUGUGCUUCUUCAAGCAAGGAAGGACACUACUCAAAAUGUCAAGAUUAAAUGGGAAUUGGAAUCGGGGAUGGGUAUAACAAAUGAGAAUUGGGAGAGGAUUUGUACAUUUCAUUGGUACUCAACAAGUUCUUUAUCUUGGAGAGACCAUUGUUGGAAGAACAUUAUUAGAUUUUUUAAAACCCCUCAUCAAAUUAAAUAUAAAAAUGGGACAGCUGAAUGCUGGAGAAGAUGUGGAUCAGAAGAAGCACAUCAUUAUCAUAUCUUUUGGGACUGCCCCAACUUAAAAAAUUACUGGCUGGGAAUUCACAAAACUUUGUGUGAGGUCUUUAAGAUAAAAUUUGACAUCAAUUUUGUAAAUUUGUAUUUGGGUUUGGUCGCUGGCUCGGUCCGGGGAGGGGAUACAAAACUUUUACAAGCGCUAUUAGCGGCCAGUAAAAAAUCAAUAACCAGAAAGUGGUUAAAUCCAACUCCGCCAACACUUGAUGAUUGGUUUAAUGCGGUCUUCGAAAUAUUUAAAAUGGAAAAAACGACAUUCUUUUUAAAAAUUCGAAAAGACAAAUUUUACAAAAUAUGGAAUAAAUGGAUUAGUUUUGUGUCCCCCAUCCGCCCUGAAUUUAGAUAA
rnacentral:lncRNA from 1 species